UACGAAGGGGGCUAGCGUUGUUCGGAAUCACUGGGCGUAAAGGGCGCGUAGGCGGCUUUAUAAGUCGGGGGUGAAAGCCUGUGGCUCAACCACAGAAUUGCCUUCGAUACUGUAGAGCUUGAGACCGGAAGAGGUAAGUGGAACUGCGAGUGUAGAGGUGAAAUUCGUAGAUAUUCGCAAGAACACCAGUGGCGAAGGCGGGUCUCUGGGCCGAUACUGACGCUGAGGAGCGAAAGCGUGGGGAGCAAACAGG
rnacentral:rRNA from 1 species